GACGAACGCUGGCGGCGUGCCUAAUACAUGCAAGUAGAACGCACAGUUUAUACCGUAGCUUGCUACACCAUAGACUGUGAGUUGCGAACGGGUGAGUAACGCGUAGGUAACCUGCCUGGUAGCGGGGGAUAACUAUUGGAAACGAUAGCUAAUACCGCAUAAUAUUGAUUAUUGCAUGAUAAUUGAUUGAAAGAUGCUAUUGCAUCACUACCAGAUGGCCCUGCGUUGUAUUAGCUAGUAGGUGAGGUAACGGCUCACCUAGGCGACGAUACAUAGCCGACCUGAGAGGGUGAUCGGCCACACUGGGACUGAGACACGGCCCAGACUCCUACGGGAGGCAGCAGUAGGGAAUCUUCGGCAAUGGACGAAAGUCUGACCGAGCAACGCCGCGGGAGUGAAGAAGGUUUUCGGAUCGUAAAGCUCUGUUGUAAGAGAAGAACGGGUGUGAGAGUGGAAAGUUCACACUGUGACGGUAGCUUACCAGAAAGGGACGGCUAACUACGUG
rnacentral:rRNA from 1 species